UACGAAGGGGGCUAGCGUUGUUCGGAAUCACUGGGCGUAAAGCGCACGUAGGCGGAUCUUUAAGUCAGGGGUGAAAUCCCGAGGCUCAACCUCGGAACUGCCUUUGAUACUGGGGAUCUCGAGCUCCGGGAGAGGUGAGUGGAACUGCGAGUGUAGAGGUGAAAUUCGUAGAUAUUCGCAAGAACACCAGUGGCGAAGGCGGCUCACUGGCCCGGUACUCGACGGCUGAGGUGCGAAAGCGUGGGGAGCAAACAGG
rnacentral:rRNA from 1 species